rnacentral:rRNA from 1 species
AUGGCAGAGGUGGUGGCCACCAUGGUGGUCGGACCACUGCUCAAAAUCGUGAUGGGGAAGGCGUCCAGCUACCUCCUCGACAAGUACAAGGUGUUGAAGGGCAUGGAGGAGCAACAUGAGAUCCUGAUGCGCAAACUGCCUGCCAUCCUGGACAUCAUCACCGACGCCGAGCAGGAAGCAGGGCACAGAGAAGGGGCAGCUGCCUGGCUCCAGGCCAUCAAGAAGGUGGCUUACCAGGCAAAUGAAGUCUUCGACGAGUUCAAGUACGAGGCGCUUCGUCGUAAGGCCAAAAAGGAGGGGCACUACAACGACCUUGGCUUCAGUGUGGUAAAAGUCUUUCCCACCCACAACCGUUUUGUAUUUCGUAACAGGAUGGGAAGAAAGCUCCGCAAGAUUGUGCAGGCCAUCGAGGUCCUUGUGGCUGAAAUGAACGCCUUUGGCUUUACAUAUCAGAAGCAACUGCCUUUAUCCAAGCAGUGGCGACAGACGGGUCAUGUUAUCUUCGAUCCAAAGAAUAUUAGUAGCAGAUCCAGAGCCAAUGAUAAUAAGAAUAUUGUUGACUUGCUAGUUGGUCAAGCUAACAAUGCAGAUCUCGCGGUUGUUCCCAUCGUUGGAAUGGGGGGUCUGGGCAAAACCACAUUAGCGCAAGUUGUCUACAAUGAACCUGAAAUUCAGAAGCAUUUUGAUUUGCUGCUAUGGGUGUGUGUCUCUGACAGGUUUGAUGUGGACUCUCUGGCUAACAACAUAGUCGAAGCAGCUCCUGAAAAGAAGGAUGAUGGUACAGAAGAUGCUGCUUCCAAGAAGAAGACACCAUUGGAUAGACUUCAGGAUCUGGUGAGUGGGCAAAGGUACCUCCUUGUACUGGAUGACGUCUGGACUAGAGAGGUUCAUAAAUGGGAACAACUUAAGGCCCGACUUCAACAUGGUGGCAUGGGUAGUGCGGUCUUGACAACAACUCGUGAUGGUAGAGUUGCUGAAAUGAUGCGUACUGUUGAAGCUUAUAAUCUCACAGCUUUGACAGAUCAAUACAUUAAAGAAAUCAUCGAGACAAGAGCAUUCAGCUGUUUCAAGAAGGAAGAGGAAAGGCCUUCUGUGUUGGUGAAUAUGGUUGAUGAGAUUGUGGAGAGAUGUGCUGGCUCUCCAUUAGCCGCAACAGCACUAGGCUCUGUACUGUGUACCAAGACCACUAAGGAAGAAUGGGAGGCUGUAUUAAGCAGAAGCAUCAUUUGCACCGAGGAGAAUGGAAUCUUACCAAUACUCAAGCUCAGUUACAACGACUUGCCGUCGCAUAUGAAGCAAUGCUUUGCUUUUUGUGCUAUAUUUCCCAAGGAUCACAAGAUUGAUGUGGACAAGCUGAUCCAAUUAUGGAUUGCACAUGGCUUCAUCCAGGAAAAUCAAACUCUUCUUGAAACCAUCGGCAAACAGAUUUUCAACGAGCUGGCCUCAAGGUCAUUCUUCCAGGAUGUCGAACAAGUCAAAGCCACGGUCAAGGAAAUUGAAGACACCGGGUCAUGUUAUUCCAGAACUACAUGUAAAAUCCAUGACCUUAUGCAUGAUGUUGCACUUUCAGUAAUGGAAAAGGAAUGUGCCUUGGCAAGUGACGAACCAGGCAAGAUUGAAUCUGUUAUCGCAUCUGAGGAAUCAAAUCAGAGUGAGUGGCUUCCAAACACUGCUCGUCAUUUAUUUUUGUCAUGCAAGGAACCAGAAAGAAAAUUGAAUAGUUCUCUAGAGAAAAGCUCUCCAGCUAUCCAAACUCUUAUAUGUGAUGGGCCUAUGGAAAGUUCGUUGCAACAUUCAUCAAAAUACAGCUCUUUGCAAGCAUUGCAGGUGCAACUCUGUUUAUGGAGAGGAGCAUUUCAGCUGAAACCAGAGCAUCUACAUCACCUGAGGUACCUAGAUCUCUCAAGAAGUAGAUAUAUCAAAGCACUUCCUGAAUAUGUGAGCAUUCUAUACAACCUUCAAACGCUGAACCUCUCCGGCUGUAGAUCUCUUUGUAGACUUCCAAGACAAAUGAAGUAUAUGACUUCCCUUCGUCACCUUUACACUCAUGGUUGUCCAGAGCUUAAGUGCAUGCCCACAGACCUCAAGAAACUCACAUCCCUUCAAACACUUACAUGCUUUGUAGCAGGUAGUGAGCCUAAUUGUAGUAAUGUUGGAGAGCUUGGAAAUUUAAACCUUGGUGGUCAACUAAAGCUACGUAAUCUGGCAAACGUGACAGAAGUGGAUGCAAAAGCAGCAAACCUUGUGAACAAGGAGCUAAGAGAAUUGAGAUUAACAUGGACCUUCAGAUGGAAUUAUUUUCAAGGUAAUACUAGCUGGCGGGAUGACGAAAACGAUGCAAAAGUGCUCGAGAAUCUCAAACCUCAUGAUGGACUACAUGCCAUACGGAUACAGUCAUAUGGAGCCACCACCUUCCCAACAUGGAUGACUAUGUUGCAAAACAUUGUUGAGAUCCAUCUUUUCAGCUGUACAAAACUAGUAUGGUUGUUCAGCGGUGAGUGUGAUACAUCGUUUGCAUUUCCAAAUCUGAAGGAGCUUAUGCUAAAAGGUCUUGUUUGUUUGGAGAGAUGGUGGGAAAAAGAUAAUGAUGGGAUGCAAGGUGAGGUGAUGAUGUUUCCUCUACUUGAGAAGCUGCAUAUUAGCGACAGUGUAAAGUUGAAAGCAUUGCCAGGAAAACCGACCUUCCCUAAGCUUCAGAAUGUUCGUGUUGAGAAAUGUCCAGAGUUGACAACUGCAGCUAAAUCACCAAAGCUCGGUGUAUUGAAGAUGGAAGGACGUGAGGUAGAGUUGUUCUUGUGGGUAGCGAGACAUCUAACUUCAUUGACCAAUCUGGAACUGACUAGCACUGAACAUAGUACAGAUACAACCUCGAUGGGGGCUGAGAAUAGUUUGAGGGAAGUGGUGAACAUCAAGGAGAAUGGGAAUGCUCAAAACUUUCCUUUAGAAGUCUUGGUGUUAAGAGACUUUAAGUCAGGUGUACGUGUAACAGAGCUAUGCGCAUGCUUUGUACACCUUCAAGAUUUGUCAAUUAUGAGGUGCCAUGAGCUCGUCCACUGGCCAGAAACAUUGUUCGAAGGUUUGGUAUCCUUGAGGAGGCUUCUGGUUGCAAAUUGUGAUAAUCUGACUGGAUAUGCACAAGUUUCUACUGAGCCAUCAGCAUCAUCAGAGACCAGUCAUCUCCUGCCACGUCUAGAGUAUCUGGAUAUAUACGAUUGUGAAAACUUGGUUGAGCUCUUCAACAUCCCUCCAUCUCUCAAGAAAAUGUACAUUGAUAAAUGCAGUAAGCUUGAGUCCACAUCCGGCAGGAAGCAGAAGCAGGGACAGUCAGUAUCAUCGACUCAUCAAGGGUCAUCCAGUAUAGAAGAAUUAACAUUCUACAGCUGUCAUGGCUUAACAGGGGUCCUCUAUUUUCCCCCAUCCCUCAAGACACUAAGCAUUGUUGGCUGUGGUGGGUUGACAUCUCUGGAAUCCUGCUCUCCUGAGUUCAAAUCCUUGGAGUCCCUCAAGCUUUGGGAUUGCAAGACCCUGGAAUCCCUACCGGAUGUCCCGCAAGCAUACUCAUCUCUCCAAAGUCUUUGCAUUUGUGACUGUCCUUGUAUGAAGACGCUCCCUGUCAGCCUGCAGCAACGGCUGAGCAGCAUCCUGGAGAAAUACUUAGAUGCUCAUUAUUAUGAAAAGCCUAUGUUGCUGAAGCCGAAGACAUGGAAAUAUGUCUGCAAAGGUUGA